rnacentral:rRNA from 1 species
CAGGCUUAACACAUGCAAGUCGAGGGGCAGCAUUUCAGUUUGCUUGCAAACUGGAGAUGGCGACCGGCGCACGGGUGAGUAACACGUAUCCAACCUGCCGAUAACUCGGGGGUAGCCUUUCGAAAGAAAGAUUAAUACCCGAUGGUAUAAUCAGACCGCAUGGUCUUGUUAUUAAAGAAUUUCGGUUAUCGAUGGGGAUGCGUUCCAUUAGGCAGUUGGUGAGGUAACGGCUCACCAAACCUUCGAUGGAUAGGGGUUCUGAGAGGAAGGUCCCCCACAUUGGAACUGAGACACGGUCCAAACUCCUACGGGAGGCAGCAGUGAGGAAUAUUGGUCAAUGGGCGCAGGCCUGAACCAGCCAAGUAGCGUGAAGGAUGACUGCCCUAUGGGUUGUAAACUUCUUUUAUAUGGGAAUAAAGUUUUCCACGUGUGGAAUUUUGUAUGUACCAUAUGAAUAAGGAUCGGCUAACUCCGUGCCAGCAGCCGCGGUAACACGGAGGAUCCGAGCGUUAUCCGGAUUUAUUGGGUUUAAAGGGAGCGUAGGUGGACAGUUAAGUCAGUUGUGAAAGUUUGCGGCUCAACCGUAAAAUUGCAGUUGAUACUGGCUGUCUUGAGUACAGUAGAGGUGGGCGGAAUUCGUGGUGUAGCGGUGAAAUGCUUAGAUAUCACGAAGAACUCCGAUUGCGAAGGCAGCUCACUGGACUGCAACUGACACUGAUGCUCGAAAGUGUGGGUAUCAGACAGGAUUAGAUACCCUGGUAGUCCACACAGUAAACGAUGAAUACUCGCUGUUUGCGAUAUACAGUAAGCGGCCAAGCGAAAGCAUUAAGUAUUCCACCUGGGGAGUACGCCGGCAACGGUGAAACUCAAAGGAAUCGACGGGGGCCCGCACAAGCGGAGGAACAUGUGGUUUAAUUCGAUGAUACGCGAGGAACCUUACCCGGGCUUAAAUUGCAUUUGAAUAUAUUGGAAACAGUAUAGCCGUAAGGCAAAUGUGAAGGUGCUGCAUGGUUGUCGUCAGCUCGUGCCGUGAGGUGUCGGCUUAAGUGCCAUAACGAGCGCAACCCUUAUCUUUAGUUACUAACAGGUCAUGCUGAGGACUCUAGAGAGACUGCCGUCGUAAGAUGUGAGGAAGGUGGGGAUGACGUCAAAUCAGCACGGCCCUUACGUCCGGGGCUACACACGUGUUACAAUGGGGGGUACAGAAGGCAGCUACCUGGUGACAGGAUGCUAAUCCCAAAAGCCUCUCUCAGUUCGGAUCGAAGUCUGCAACCCGACUUCGUGAAGCUGGAUUCGCUAGUAAUCGCGCAUCAGCCAUGGCGCAGUGAAUACGUUCCCGGGCCUUGUACACACCGCCCGUCAAGCCAUGAAAGCCGGGGGUACCUGAAGUACGUAACCGCAAGGAGCGUCCUAGGGUAAAACUGGUAAUUGGGGCUAAGU